AUGAGGACAGACCACUUGGCAUCCCAACUUAGUUUAAUCUGGGAGGUGGAUUCAGGAUCAUAUAUUAAGUUGGUGCUCUCAUCGGAAUAUUCAUUUCCCAAGCAGCUGAAGAUACUGAUGCGUGCUGAUGUAUCACAUGUUGAAAACCUUGAAAGUUCUCUAGAAAGAGAGGAAGAUGAAGUAUUGGUAAAAGAGGAUAUCAUCAAGGCAUGUAUAUAUUGUCACGAACAGAGGAUUAGACUCGUCUAUGGAAGGAGCAUUGGGCUCCCGCUGGUUCUACCAUCAGGACUUCGUCAACUUUCUCUUUCUUCAUGCAGUAUUACAGAUGGAGCUUUAGCUAUUUGCCUUGAUGGCUUGGCUUCUCUGGAAAGGUUGUCCUUAGAAGAAAUUAUGACUUUAACUACACUUCCUUCAGAAGAGGUCCUCCAGCAUUUGACAAAACUUGGCAGCUUGGUCAUCAAAUGUUGCUGGCGUCUCAGGUCAUUAGGGGGCUUACGAGCUGCUACCUCUCUUUCUCAUGUGAGAUUGAUGUUCUGCCCUUCUUCAGCGUUGGCAUGUGGAGCAGAAUGUUUGCCAUUAUCUCUUGAGAGUCUAUGUAUAUGGAAUUGUGUGCUUGGAGCUGACUUCCUUUGUGCUGACUGGCCACACAUUAAUGCUAUUGAAAUAAGAUAUUGCAGAAGCACCGCUUGCAUGUCUGUUGGUAAUUUAACCUCUGUUAAAUCAUUCUCACAGUUUAGCUUGCCAGAUUUAUGCACGCUCCAAGGAUUGUCUUCCCUGCAACUUGAAAGUGUACAUUUGUAUGAUGUUCCGAAACUCACCCCGGAGUGUAUCUCACAGUUUCGAGUCCAGAAUUCACUCGGAGUUAGCAGUCCUGUAAUACUCAACAACAUGCUCUCGGCUGAAGGUUUCACAGUUCCAAAAACCCUCUCUCUUAUAAACUGCGAGGAGCCAGUUAUUUCGUUGGAAGAAUCCGCAAAUUUCACAUAUGUCCAGAGCCUGACAUUCUUUGGUUGUCGGAUGAUUUCCCUGCCAACAAAUCUGAAAUGCUUCUCCAAUCUGAAGAAUCUUCACAUCCAGCGCUGCCUCAACAUAUCAUCUUUACCAGAUCUGCCAUCCUCCCUCCAACACAUACGCGUAUUGGCUUGUUCUGAGCUCUUGAAGGAGAACUGCCGAGCACCUGAUGGAGAAAGUUGGCCAAAGAUUGCUCAUAUCCGCUGGAAGGAAUUUAGAUAG
rnacentral:rRNA from 1 species